CCUAAUUUGACAAGCCAGACCUAUUGACCCAAGGACACUUGAAUCUUGGGAGGGGCUCUUUCCUUGCAAGUCAGAUUUCAUUUCACAGAUUCCUCUCUCUCUAGAACAGAAACCUUGCCCUAACUCAAGUGCUCUGACUUCUCUCUUGGUUUUCAGUCAUUUCCACCGAUUGAAUCCUAAUUUGGUGGUGUUUUCUUGUUCCUCGAGUCAAGAGCUACGAAACCAUCCGAUUGGUUUUGUGUUCCAGCGGGUAAGUAGAUUUUCCCUCUUUCCCUUCACUGUUCUUGUCCUAGGUUGUACCAUUUUCUGAUUUCCUGUGCCCUGUGUGAUUUUGUCUUUCAUUCUCGAUUUAUUCCGACUCAAAGAGCUAAAGUCUAGCACCUAUUUGGUGAUUUAUAGGUUUUGUACAGUUUCGCACGGUGUAGGGGUACUGUUAGAGCAUCUGUGAACUGUGUUGAGCAACCCACCAGAGGGGACUUAAAAACCUGAGUUGGCACAUUCCUGAUCAUAGAGCAGCCCUGGCCUGGUCCAGUCAGUUGUGACUAGUCAUAUGUGCUAGCGCCGAAGGUGAAUCUGAUGCGUUCAACCCUUUUCUGUGACCAAUUGGGUAGCAAUGUGGAGAACAAGUAUUUUGUGGUAAUGAAAAAUUUAGCAAGCAGUUUCAUAAUUAAGGGAACAUUGUAAGUUAUUUAGAGAUAAU
rnacentral:sRNA from 1 species